rnacentral:rRNA from 1 species
GACGAACGCUGGCGGCGUGCUUAACACAUGCAAGUCGAGCGGUAAGGCCCUUCGGGGUACGACGAGCGGCGAACGGGUGAGUAACACGUGGGUGACCUGCCCUUAGCUCUGGGAUAAGCCUGGGAAACUGGGUCUAAUACCGGAUAUGACCUCAUGACGCAUGUUGUGGGGUGGAAAGCCUUGUGCGGCUAGGGAUGGGCCCGCGGCCUAUCAGCUUGUUGGUGGGGUGAUGGCCACCAAGGCGACGACGGGUAGCCGGCCUGAGAGGGCGACCGGCCACACUGGGACUGAGACACGGCCCAGACUCCUACGGGAGGCAGCAGUGGGGAAUAUUGCACAAUGGGCGAAAGCCUGAUGCAGCGACGCCGCGUGAGGGAUGACGGCCUCGGUUGUAA